CACGGGGGUUGCAAGCGUUGUCCGGAAUUACUAGGCGUAAAGGGCAGGUAGGCGGAUCUAUAAGUUUAAUGUUAAAGGCGACGGCUUACCCGUCGUAAGGCGUUAGAUACUGUAGAUCUGGAAUACGGUUGGGGAAGACAGAAUUCCUGGUGUAGCGGUGGAAUGCGCAGAUAUCAGGAGGAAUACCGAAGGCGAAGGCAGUCUUCUAAGCCGUUAUUGACGCUAAACUGCGAAGGUGUGGGUAUCAAACAGG
rnacentral:rRNA from 1 species